GUCCACGCCCUAAACGAUGCGAACUGGAUGUUGGGUGCAAUUUGGCACGCAGUAUCGAAGCUAACGCGUUAAGUUCGCCGCCUGGGGAGUACGGUCGCAAGACUGAAACUCAAAGGAAUUGACGGGGGCCCGCACAAGCGGUGGAGUAUGUGGUUUAAUUCGAUGCAACGCGAAGAACCUUACCUGGCCUUGACAUGUCGAGAACUUUCCAGAGAUGGAUUGGUGCCUUCGGGAACUCGAACACAGGUGCUGCAUGGCUGUCGU
rnacentral:rRNA from 1 species